AAGAGAUGAUUUAUUGUAAAUUUUAGUGGCGGACUGGUGAGUAAUACAUAGGUAAUCUGCCUUUUAGAGGGGAAUAACUAGGAGAAAUCCUAGCUAAUACCGCGUAAGACCACACUUAGGCAUCUAAGAGAGGUCAAAGGAGUAAUCCGCUAAAAGAUGAGCCUGUGGCUGAUUAGUUAGUUGGUGGGGUAAGAGCCUACCAAGACGAUGAUCAGUAGCCGAGCUGAGAGGCUGGCCGGCCACAUUGGGACUGAGAUACGGCCCAGACUCCUACGGGAGGCAGCAGUUGGGAAUAUUGGACAAUGGAGGAAACUCUGAUCCAGUGACGCCGCGUGAAGGAAGAAGGUCUUCGGAUUGUAAACUUAUUUUAUCAGGGAAGAAGAAAGUGACAGUACCUGAAGAAAAAGGACCGGCAAACUACGUGCCAGCAGCCGCGGUAAUACGUAGGGUCCAAGCGUUAUCCGGAUUUACUGGGUGUAAAGGGCGAGUAGACGGCGCUGUAAGUCAGCUGUGAAAACUUAGGGCUCAACCUUAAGCCUGCAGCUGAAACUGUAGUGCUAGAGUGCAGGAGAGGUAAGCGGAAUUCCUAGUGUAGCGGUGAAAUGCGUAGAUAUUAGGAGGAACACCAGUGGCGAAGGCGGCUUACUGGACUGUAACUGACGUUGAGGCGCGAAAGUGUGGGGAGCAAACAGGAUUAGAUACCCUGGUAGUCCACACCGUAAACGAUGGAUACUAGGUGUAGGCGAGAUAUCGUCUGUGCCGGCGCAAACGCAAUAAGUAUCCCACCUGGGGAGUACGGCCGCAAGGUUGCAA
rnacentral:rRNA from 2 species